rnacentral:rRNA from 1 species
UACGUAGGGUGCAAGCGUUAAUCGGAAUUACUGGGCGUAAAGCGUGCGCAGGCGGUUAUGCAAGACAGAUGUGAAAUCCCCGGGCUUAACCUGGGAACCGCAUUUGUGACUGCAUAGCUGGAGUACGGCAGAGGGGGAUGGAAUUCCGCGUGUAGCAGUGAAAUGCGUAGAUAUGACGGAGGAACACCGAUGGCGAAGGCAAUCCCCUGGACCUGUACUGACGCUCAUGCACGAAAGCGUGGGGAGCAAACAGG